rnacentral:rRNA from 1 species
AAAAAAGAUUCCUGCACCCCUUGUUAUCAGAACUGCGGGGACACGGGAAGGGAAGCAGAGCCGGGAAUGGAAAGCCCGGUGCAAGCGAGGUAGUCGCAGGAUUGGAAAAUCCGUCCUGCGUAAGACGAAGGCGUGAUGCGGAGCGAAACAAAGUAGCGAAGCUGCGGCCCCUUCCUGUCGAGAAAAGCCGCUAUCGUGUAGCAAGGGCCCGUACCGUAAACCGACACAGGUGGAUGAGGAGAGGAUCCUAAGGCCGGCGGGAGAAGUGUUGUUAAGGAACUCGGCAAAAUGACUCCGUAACUUCGGGAGAAGGAGUGCUGCGCAAGCAGCCGCAGAGAAAUGGCCCAAGCAACUGUUUAGCAAAAACACAGGUCUAUGCGAAACCGAAAGGUGAGGUAUAUGGGCUGACGCCUGCCCGGUGCUGGAAGGUUAAGGGGAGAGCUUAGCGCAAGCGAAGGUUUGAACUUAAGCCCCAGUAAACGGCGGCCGUAACUAUAACGGUCCUAAGGUAGCGAAAUUCCUUGUCGGGUAAGUUCCGACCCGCACGAAAGGCGUAAUGAUUUGGGCACUGUCUCAACAACACACCCGGUGAAAUUGAAAUACCAGUGAAGAUGCUGGUUACCCGCGCCAGGACGGAAAGACCCCAUGGAGCUUUACUCCAGCCUGAUACUGGGAUUCGGUAUUGCAUGUACAGGAUAGGUGGGAGGCUAAGAACUUAUGGCGCCAGCCGUAAGGGAGCCAUUGUUGGGAUACCACCCCUACAGUACUGGGUUUCUAACCUGCGCCCGUGACCCGGGCGGGGGACAAUGUCAGGCGGGGAGUUUGACUGGGGCGGUCGCCUCCGAAAGGGUAUCGGAGGCGCUCAAAGGUCUCCUCAGGAUGGUUGGAAACCAUUCAGAGAGUGCAAAGGCAGAAGGAGGCUUGACUGCGACACCGACGGGUGGAGCAGGUACGAAAGUAGGACUUAGUGAUCCGGUGGCAUAACGUGGGAUUGCCAUCGUUCAACGGAUAAAAGCUACCCUGGGAUAACAGGCUUAUCACUCCCAAGAGUUCACAUCGACGGAGUGGUUUGGCACCUCGAUGUCGGCUCAUCGCAUCCUGGAGCUGGAGCAGGUUCCAAGGGUUGGGCUGUUCGCCCAUUAAAGCGGUACGCGAGCUGGGUUCAGAACGUCGUGAGACAGUUCGGUCCCUAUCCGGCGCGGGCGCAGGAUAUCUGAGAGGAGCUGUCCUUAGUACGAGAGGACCGGGAUGGACCGUCCGCUGGUGGACCGGUUGUCAUGCCAAUGGCACGGCCGGGUAGCCAAGACGGGGAGGGAUAAACGCUGAAGGCAUCUAAGCGUGAAGCCCCCCUCAAGAUGAGAUAUCCAGACUCGAAAGAGUGAGAGACCCCUUAGAGACGAUGAGGUAGAUAGGGCAGAGAUGGAAGCACAGUGAUGUGUGGAGUUGACUGUUACUAAUCGGUCGAUAGCUC